UACAGAGGUGGCAAGCGUUGUUCGGAUUUAUUGGGCGUAAAGGGUCCGUAGGCGGCUUAGAUAGUCGGAUGUGAAAUCCCACAGCUCAACUGUGGAACUGCAUUCGAAACUUCUAGGCUCAAGUGUGCUAGGGGUAAAGGGAAUUCCCGGUGUAAGGGUGAAAUCUGCAGAGAUCGGGAGGAACACCAGUAGCGAAGGCGCUUUACUGGAUCACUACUGACGCUGAGGGACGAAAGCCAGGGGAGCAAACGGGAUUAGAUACCCCGGUAGUCCUGGCCGUAAACGAUGGACACUAGGUGUUGGGGGGGUUAAACCCUUCGGUGCCAAGGCUCACGCAUUAAGUGUCCUGCCUGGGGAGUACGGUCGCAAGGCUGAA
rnacentral:rRNA from 1 species